rnacentral:rRNA from 1 species
UUGGAGGGCAAGUCUGGUGCCAGCAGCCGCGGUAAUUCCAGCUCCAAUAGCGUAUAUUAAAGUUGUUGCCGUUAAAAAGCUCGUAGUUGAACUUUCAUGGGCUCACGCGGUCUGCCUCACGGCAAGUACUGUGUGGGCUCGUGCUCCUGGGUGGUGAGCCGUCAUGUCGUUCACUCGGUGUGGCGGGGAACCACCUCUGUUACCUUGAGAAAAUUAGAGUGUUCAAAGCAGGCCUAUGCCCGAAUACAUUAGCAUGGAA